rnacentral:rRNA from 1 species
GACGAACGCUGGCGGCGUGCUUAACACAUGCAAGUCGAACGGAAAGGCCCUGCUUUUGUGGGGUUCUCGAGUGGCGAACGGGUGAGUAACACGUGAGUAACCUGCCCUUGACUUUGGGAUAACUUCAGGAAACUGGGGCUAAUACCGGAUAGGAGCUCCUGCUGCAUGGUGGGGGUUGGAAAGUUUCGGCGGUUGGGGAUGGACUCGCGGCUUAUCAGCUUGUUGGUGGGGUAGUGGCUUACCAAGGCUUUGACGGGUAGCCGGCCUGAGAGGGUGACCGGCCACAUGGGGACUGAGAUACGGCCCAGACUGCUACGGGAGGCAGCAGUGGGGAAUAUUGCACAAUGGGCGGAAGCCUGAUGCAGAAGCGCCGCGUGCGGGAUGACGGCCUUCGGGUUGUAAACCGCUUUCGCCUGUGACGAAGCGUGAGUGACGGUAAUGGGUAAAGAAGCACCGGCUAACUACGUG